rnacentral:tRNA from 6 species
GGUGGGGUUCCCGAGUGGCCAAAGGGAUCAGACUGUAAAUCUGACGCGCAAGCUUCGGUGGUUCGAAUCCACCUCCCACCACCA